AGUGGGAUAGCUGGGUCAAAUUGUAGUACCAUUCUAACUUUUCUAAGGAAUCUCCUUACUGCUUUCCAUAUUGGCUGCACCAAUUUGCAGUCCCACCAGCAAU
rnacentral:pre_miRNA from 1 species